UAGGGAAUCUUCCACAAUGGACGCAAGUCUGAUGGAGCAACGCCGCGUGAGUGAAGAAGGUUUUCGGACCGUAAAGCUCUGUUGUUGGUGAAGAAGGAUAGAGGUAGUAACUGGCCUUUAUUUGACGGUAAUCAACCAGAAAGUCACGGCUAACUACGUGCCAGCAGCCGCGGUAAUACGUAGGUGGCAAGCGUUGUCCGGAUUUAUUGGGCGUAAAGCGAGCGCAGGCGGAAGAAUAAGUCUGAUGUGAAAGCCCUCGGCUUAACCGAGGAAUUGCAUCGGAAACUGUUUUCUUGAGUGCAGAAGAGGAGAGUAGAACUCCAUGUGUAGCGGUGGAAUGCGUAGAUAUAUGGAAGAAUACCAGUGGCGAAGGCGGCUCUCUGGUCUGCAACUGACGCUGAGGCUCGAAAGCAUGGGUAGCGAACAGGAUUAGAUACCCUGGUAGUCCAUGCCGUAAACGAUGAGUGCUAAGUGUUGGGGAGGCUUCCGCCUCUCAGUGCUGCAGCUAACGCAUUAAGCACUGCGCCUGGGGGAGUACGACCGCAAGGUUGAAAC
rnacentral:rRNA from 1 species